rnacentral:rRNA from 1 species
AGAGAUGUGUGAUGACGCAUAUCAAUAAGCGGAGGAAAAGUAACUAACAAGGAUUCCCCUAGUAACGGCGAGUGAAGCGGGAAGAGCUCAAAUUUGAAAUCUUAAAGGGUUUCCCUUUACGAAUUGUAGUUUAAAGAAGUGUUUUCUGUUGGAGUUUCGGUAAAAGUUCUUUGGAAUAGGACAUCAUAGAGGGUGAGAAUCCCGUAUUUGACCGUUACUUUCUAGCUUUGUGAUACACUUUCAAAGAGUCGGAUUGUUUGGGAAUGCAGUCCAAAAUGGGUGGUAAAUUUCAUCUAAAGCUAAAUAUUGGCGAGAGACCGAUAGCGAACAAGUACCGUGAGGGAAAGAUGAAAAGAACUUUGAAAAGAGAGUUAAACAGUACGUGAAAUUGUCAAAAGGGAAGCGUUUGACACCAGUGUUGUUUAGUUGAAAAUCAAUUAAAUAUUUUUCGAUUUUAAGUAGUAUUGACCUUAUCAGCUUGCUGCUUUUUUCUCGGAAAUUAUUUAAUGCACUUUUCAGUUAACAAGUCAACAUCAAUUUCUUUUGUUGUAAAAAGGUAAGAGGAAGGUGGCUUGCGCUUCGGCUCAAGUGUUUAUAGCCUUUUACCCCUGCAAUCGGAGAGAUUGAGGUCUGCAGCGUAGAUCCUUCGGGGUUAGAUACAUUUGUGCUAAGCUAUAGCCUUGUAUAGACAACUUGUUGACUAUGCUCAGUCAUGUAGCUUACUCGCUUAUGCUAUUUUACCUACGCUUAGGAUGUUGAUCUGUAGUGCGUGCGC